GUGUAUGAAACUAUAAUUUUGAUUCACCAGAAUUGGAGUAAGCAAUUUUGUGUUCUUACAAGGUGUAUUCAAAAUUAGGUUGAUUUUUUAGUGUUUCUUUAUAUUUGUGUAGUUUGCCGUCGACCGACGAAAAAGUGACAGGAACGAAGAAGAGCAAAACAAAACGAGCAAAACAGUGUCGCGGUCCGCGGGAAAUCGGUGAAAAUUGUUUUGUACCCGCUCCUUUACCGCAACAGCAGCAAUUCCGUGCUAGCUGCGUCAAGUUUUUUCGUGAAAAGUGUUAGUUUUGUGUCCGUCAAUCCGUCAGCGGGAUCGCAGACAACCGGUGCGCCUCACAAACCGAUAUUUAAUGAUUGGGAUGCCUCGUCAUUUGCCAACAAUGUCAAAUCUUCGCUGGGUUUGGUCUGGUUAGACAAACAGCUGGUGGAAGAAUUCGGCGAUAGCAAUCACCUACGACUGUGCCACAACUUUGCGCCUGCGAGAGAUCGAACAGCCGGCUGAGAAUGUGUUAUGUGAGCUGCAGCUGCAGGAACCAAAUCGUUUGUAAUAAUCGCUUCGGGAUGCGAAUAACGCAGACGAUUUGGUGAAGAAUAUCUACGUCUCAUCGGAAGUGUGCAAGUACAUCUCCGAUCACAUGGCCACCUCGGAGAACAAGUUGAACAACGUGGCGAAGAUCGCUGAUCUCGAAAUUAUCGGCGCGGACGCAGAUAUCUGCUCGGCGAUCGUAAUUGAUGCUGCCCACGCCCAGACCAACAUCGACCAAGGAAAACUUCAGUGUUCAGGCAGAAGAUGGUAGCCUUCUAAAUCUACUAUUAACUAUUCCAUGGAAGUUACCGGAUUUCGUAGAGAUGCUGCACACCAGUCAGAAUGCGGCGGCCAAUACCAAAAUCUGGUUGCAUCGUAGCAAUCACCCAUGACUAAAUUGCAUCGGAUAAAUCAUCAACUAGGUAUUCUAAAGAAAUAAUUGCACAGCUGUCGAAUUUCAUGUAACAAUUUAAUUUUCAAGCUGGAAGUGGUCGAAGUUGUAGCUGCUAAAACGGUUCGACUCCGGGGGCAUCAGUCGUCGCAGCGAAUCUGCUAUCAGGAUUUUGAGUUUCGCAUGCGGCGCGAGGUCGCAUGAUCACAAACUUAAUCGAGCUAGAUCGACAGAUGGCACAAGAUCCAGUAGAAUAAGAUUUAAC